CAGCAGCCGCGGUAAAACGGAGGGAGCUAGCGUUGUUCGGAAUUAUUGGGCGUAAAGGGUGCGUAGGCGGUUUGAUAAGUCAUCUGUGAAAUCUCUGGGCUCGACCCAGAGUCUGCAGGCGAAACUGUCGGGCUUGAGUAUGGGAGAGGUGAGUGGAAUUUCCGGUGUAGCGGUGAAAUGCGUAGAUAUCGGAAGGAACACCUGUGGCGAAAGCGGCUCACUGGACCAUUUCUGACGCUGAUGCACGAAAGCUAGGGGAGCAAACAGGAUUAGAUACCCGCGUAGUCCCUGUCUCUUAUAC
rnacentral:rRNA from 1 species